rnacentral:lncRNA from 1 species
GUGGUGGGGCCCCAAAGUGUGGGUUUGUACCAACUGAUCUCAAGAGCUGGGUUUUGCUAGAGCAGCGCGGGAUGCUACAUGUAUAUUAUGGAUAUUGAGAUCAGAGUUGCAUUCAGUUCUCUCUCACGUAGAUCACCUAUCCUCUUUCACUGGGCUGUUUCCUCCACGCUUUCCUCCAAAUAGUGUCAAGAUGAGAUUCUUUCUUUCCCACCUUUGCAGAGUUGCCAUAUCCAGGAUAAAUCCCAACACUUUGUGAAAAAUUAGGACCUAAUGCAUUAGCCUAAAACUCCUCCUCCAACUUUUUAUUUUCACUUAUUUAUUUAACAUGGAAACAACAGGGAGAAAAAAAUCAAGUGUGUCUAACAAACAUACCUAAUUAGAUUCUGGGUCUCUUCUGUAACAUAAAAAAACUGAAAUACUUUUGAAGCUGAAGCACCAAUUAGCAGGGCUUGUCAUGGAGAGAACACUUAUAAAGCAAAACUCAGUACCC